AUGCUUAUCUGGCGUGGGAGAGACUAUGAUCACAAACAUAGUUUCCUAGGGUGAGGCUCAUCCAUUACACUCUGGGUAUGCUAGCCCUUUUUAAUCUCCCUAAACACAGGAAACUCAACUACAUAAUUUGUGGUAGUGAGAAAUGGCAUUCAUGCUCUCCCUGU
ensembl:snRNA U1 U1 spliceosomal RNA